AUGUACCAUAGCUGUUGUUGCACUUGUGGGAUGUACUUUAACCACUUUUUAAAAUAUAUACACAGGGCAGGAAAAUAAAAAGCUGAAGCAGAGAAGCAGUGGACCGUCUGGUCGGUAGGAUGCUGCAGAUCUGACCUCUGACCCUCUGAUCUGAAGAGCCGCUCUGAGGAAAUCUAUGCAGGACACAUCUACUGCAGAAAUCCUGUCUGAUGUCUGAGGCCGACUCGGAGUCAGCGGCGCUGCUGAGUGAAAGGUGCUGAAAAGAAGAUGAACACUGACUGGUUUUAAGGAGGAGGAGGAGGAGGAGAAAGAGAAGGAGGAGGACAAAGAGAAGGAGGAGGAAAAGGAGAAGGACAAAGAGGAGGAGGAGAAAGCGGCGGAGGCAGGCGGCUACUGAAGGAACCAGUCGGCUCACGCUGACGCCGUCCUGGUUGCUUUCCUUCCGCAGGCCAGAGGUUUGAAUCGGAGCGCUGCAGGUUAACAGGAGGAUCUGCCACAGCCUGAGUGAACCGGAGGGAGCGAGCAGAGGGAGGGCGAUUACUGGGACACAGAAACGAGUCACCAACAGAUGCCGAGCACAACAAGAAGGAUUUAAAGAAAUUCUCCUUCAGAGGGACGACAGAGAGGAAGAAGUGAGUCGAAGAAUCGAUGCUGUGAUUCGUCUGUCUGGAAACCGGGUCAGAUUAUCCAACAUUCAGGAAAAUAAAACCCAGAUGAUGAUGCAGGUGCAGCUCUGAGUCUGACCUCAUGUUGGCCUCAGUUUGUGAAGAAAAUCCCUGCAGGAGGUUUUCCUCGCUGCUGCGCUGCCUGUUUGCAGCUUCUGCUGAAAACACUAAAUUAUAAUCCGUUCAUCUGGUUAUUAAUACAUAAACUGAGAAAAUGAUUUAGUAAAACACUCUUUCUUCUGAAACACUUGGAAAAAUGAUCAAAUAAAAUAACCCAAUAGAUAAAAGAUUGUUUUAUGUUUACAGAUCCUAACGUUGUAGCAAACCUCUUUACUCUCAUACCUCUAAAUAAAAUCCAGUCCAACAAAA